rnacentral:lncRNA from 1 species
AAUACACAAUGCAUCUGACACAGAUUUAACUACGUGGACAACAUUACUGACAGAGAUUUAAACCAGGUGGACAACACUGUGUCUGAUAUGGACAGGAGACACCAGCACUGCUCUGAUGACCUGCAGAGAAGAGAGGACACAAACAGACAGAGAUUUAAACCAGGUGGACAACACUGUGUCUGAUAUGGACAGGAGACACCAGCACUGCUCUGAUGACCUGCAGAGAAGAGAGGACACAAACAGACAGAGAUUUAAACCAGGUGGACAACACUGUGUCUGAUAUGGACAGGAGAAAGCAGCACUGCUCUGAUGACCUGCAGAGAGGACAGGAGACAAAGAGACAGAUGUACAGAAGACGUUACUUGAAUCGUCUUCCACAUACACGUGAAUAAUGUAUAGUCAUUUGUAAACCCACUGAUCUUGGUGCCCUUUGCUUAAUGUAUUCAACAUGACCCCGGGACAACUUACUCCUUCUAAGGCUGAGAAACAGGUGUGUGAAAAUAUAUGACAGAUAAUGACAACAAUACGACGGGGGGUUUUCUGUAUGCAGACAUUGAAUAAUAUCAUGUUCUGUAUAGAUAUGACAACAAUACGACGGGGGUUUUCUGUAUGCAGACAUUGAAUAAUAUAAUGUUCUGUAUAGAUAUGACAACAAUACGACGGGGGUUUUCUGUAUGCAGACAUUGAAUAAUAUCAUGUUCUGUAUAGAUAUGACAACAAUACGACGGGGGGUUUUCUGUAUGCAGACAUUGACUAAUAUCAUGUUCUGUAUAGAUAUGACAACAAUACGACGGAGGGUUUUCUGUAUGCAGACAUUGACUAAUAUAAUGUUCUGUAUAGAUAUGACAACAAUACGACGGGGGGUUUUCUGUAUGCAGACAUUGAAUAAUAUCAUGUUCUGUAUAGAUAUGACAACAAUACGACGGGGGUUUUCUGUAUGCAGACAUUGAAUAAUAUCAUGUUCUGUAUAGAUAUGACAACAAUACGACGGGGGGUUUUCUGUAUGCAGACAUUGAAUAAUAUAAUGUUCUGUAUAGAUAUGACAACAAUACGACGGGGGUUUUCUGUAUGCAGACAUUGAAUAAUAUAAUGUUCUGUAUAGAUAUGACAACAAUACGACGGGGGUUUUCUGUAUGCAGACAUUGAAUAAUAUCAUGUUCUAUACCAAAACAUAUUCUUGAAAACAAGUACAGCAUGUAAACCAGAAAUAAAGGCAGAUCAUAGUUUUAAUUCUGUGUCAACAAACUGUUCUAAAAAUAUGUAUCUUGUUCUUCUCGGCUCUGUUGGCUGGUGGAGUUGCUUCAUUGUUAAAUCUAUAUUUUUUUUAAAGGUAUGAUAAAUAUAUAUAUAUAUGUUUUAUAUGAAAA